rnacentral:rRNA from 1 species
AACGAACGCUGGCGGCAUGCCUAACACAUGCAAGUCGAACGAGACCUUCGGGUCUAGUGGCGCACGGGUGCGUAACGCGUGGGAACCUGCCCUUAGGUUCGGAAUAACUCCCCGAAAGGGGUGCUAAUACCGGAUAAUGUCUUCGGACCAAAGAUUUAUCGCCUUUGGAUGGGCCCGCGUUGGAUUAGCUAGUUGGUAGGGUAAAAGCCUACCAAGGCGACGAUCCAUAGCUGGUCUGAGAGGAUGAUCAGCCACACUGGGACUGAGACACGGCCCAGACUCCUACGGGAAGCAGCAGUGGGGAAUAUUGGACAAUGGGCGAAAGCCUGAUCCAGCAAUGCCGCAUGAGUGAUGAAGGCCUUAGGGUUGUAAAGCUCUUUUACCCGGGAUGAUAAUGACAGUACCGGGAGAAUAAGCUCCGGCUAACUCCGUG